GGGAAGGGAAGGAAGGAGGAAGGAAGAGCUUUACUGUGUGCCCAGCGGAAUUUAGGCGCUCUCACCCUAGUUGCAGAAACUUAUAAAAACAUCCCCCUGCUCUCCGUUGAGAGUUUCAGGAUAGUUUUUGAGGCCAGAGAAAGAGAAAAGAAGGAGAGAACACUAGAAAGAUAGGAGGAAAAGAAGUGGGAAGAAAAGCAGCUGCAGUCUACAAUGUAAGCCUCCAGGCUCCUUAGCCUCACCUUAUAAAGCCACAUCACCGCAGACACAGCAAAGAUCGUGCCCUUUCCCAGGGAGUUCCUACCGCCAGGGUAAGAUUUAAAGCGGCCACCCCAGUUGGUCACAGCGAUUGGCCUUUCUAUCUCCCCAAGUUCACCUUUUCCAGUUGGUCACAGCGAUUGCUGGGCGCCUUUCUAUCUCCCCGAGUCCACCUUUUUCCAUUCUUAUCUGAAAGCCAGCCCCAAAGAAAUCUCACCGGAAGUCCUCUGUCCUCCCUGUCAGAAUCCCACCCUCAGUCUGAAUUUACUCCCGAUUCUCACAGCACAGAAAGGCACCUGCUUUUACCCUUUCUGAAAACCACCCACCCAGGCUGGCCUUACAGCCUGGAGAGUCUUUUCCUCGGGCACAAUAAUGAACCAUGCAAGUGUUAGAAAUAUAAUCAGCUCAUGAGGCGAAGAGCAGGAUGUAUGGAAUUGUAUUAGCAUGAGGCACACACUGACUCGGGAGAAAGAAGGAUGCUUAGCUGGUGAAAACCAUCAUAUCCCCAUAUAGAGGGCUUUUUGCACGAUAUAAGUUGGGUUCAGAUUAAUGUAAGUAUCUAACCUGUUGGGUACAGACAGCCCCUUUCUACAUUUUAGUCCAGAAUAGAUUCUGGGGAAAUUUAUUUAUUUAUUUAUUUUUCAGCUAAGGCCCUGAGAGAAAAGACUGCCUCCAGGGAAUCAUGUCCGAUUAGGGACAAAGGAGGGCACAAGCCCAAUUCAGUCACACGUGAGAGCACGGGAGCCGGGUGGGGGGGGUGAAGAGUCAGCAGGGAAGGUGGAGGAUGAGCUUGCAAACCAGACUAUGGUCACUGCAGAGCUGCUUCCAGACCACCCGACUUCAGGCCCAAGAACAGGUGGUGUUUUCAAAACACACUGUUAUUUAUAUUGGCCAUAUAAGUUGAGAACACCUUAAAGAAAACAAUUAAUAAUUUAAUUGAAAAAGUGACUAUGAAUAAGACAUGAAGAUGACGUAUGCUAGCAGGACUGCAAGCAACGUGGCCCACAACGCAGAGAUGCCUCUGGCAGUCUCUUCAGGAAAACGAAGAUUCCUUACCUGGGAUAGGGGACAACCUCAUCAUCUGGUGACAUCAUGAUCCUGGUAGGCCCACAGACAAAUACCUUCAAUAAAAUAAAAGCUAGAAAGCCCAAAGAACAAGCUAUUAAAGUAACCUGGGAAGAUGCAGCAGUGCCUGGGCAGAAGGCCCGGAUGGGAUCUGCUCUAAACUGCCACUGUCCCAAGAGGCAGACCCUGCGACCUGCCUCCUGCACUUCAGAGGCCUGACAAGUAGAACUGAGAGUGACCCUGAGUUCCUUUUCUUUAUCUGGCACCAGCUAUACACAUGAUGAGGCCUAGUCAAGCCUGCCUUUGUUCCAGGCAAAAAUUUAACAGGUAAUCCACAGGCAGGUGAUCUAUGGCCUCUGUACAUUAUGGAAAUGAGGGACUACACAGAAGCUGGGCGUCACCUCUACUAAAACUCAUUUUCCUUAUUCAUAAAAACAAUACCUCUCCAGAGGGAAUUGGCAACUUCUGCACUUACAUAUGAAAUCAGGAGUUUCUCUGAAAUACUCCUUGCAAAUUCUAUCCUCCAGCUCUGGAAGCCCCGGCUCUUCGGAGGGCAGCUGCCUGAUGUUAAACCCACGGCCUACCCAGCAGUGACAGCCUGACGUUCUCAUCGCUCCAUCCUGAACACUGCUGACAAAUAAACCCACUCUCAGAAAAGGCAAUUCUUCCCUCGCAGUUCUCCAUACCCAGUCUCAUCUCAUCUGGAAAGUGUAAUUGGCAACAGCCGAAAGGAUAAAUAUUUAAAAAUAAAUCAGGGAGUGCUAACCCCUUCCCUACUCCUCCCCUUACCCACUCUCCAAGCCAGAGGCCUGCCCCCUAACGCUGAGCUGGCUGGUAAAUUACAAUGACUCCACCGAGCCAAACCUGCUUGUCUCUCUCUCUCUCUACACAUACACACUUACUAAUGCUGUAUCCUUCCACUUUUGCAAAGGUAAAUAUGAUCUCUAAGAUACAGUGGAUGUCAGCAUUCUGACUUCCAGCUUAACCUGGGCUCUCUUUUCACAGUACAGCUGGGUUUAGACAGAUUUGUGCACCCUUCCGGGUUCUUCUAUUUUUAUUAAAUUAUACGUAUACAUUGAUUUAAAAAACUAGUGCUUAAAUAACCUGGAGGCUUUAACAAAGAAAAAUCCAGAAGAGGGCAAGAAACAAAAACAAACGUUCCUGAAAUAAACAAGGAACCAUUUGGAGCUCAAUUUCGCUCCAUGGCCUGCGUUCACCCCAUGAUUUUGAGGCAGUUAUAUUUAGGGGCCUGGUACCCGCUAGGUGGCCAGGCCCUCCUGGGUAUGGAACAGAAUGCAGACGUUCCUCAGAACAGCUCACAUUUGCCUUCAUAACCAUUGGAAGCUGGUGUGCCAAGGCCUGCACACAGAUGUUUUGAUUCACAUUUUUCUGCUGAAGGCUCAAGGCCUCCAUCCAUCCCUACAGUGCUAAUUCCAUAGAUUAAUUUUUACCCCCAAAUCAUAGGUGGAACAUUAUCUAAUUUCCUAACCCACCCUCCCCAGCUCAGGUGCUAAAUCUGUCAAUGAUAUCCCACAAGAAAGAUACAAAUGAAUAACCAUUUUUUAAAAGCUGUGAUUUCGGAGAGUUUUUCUAAAUUAAUUUUAAGUUACAAAGCCCCAAGUUUUAAGAAAGCCAAAAUACAGAAGUUGCCUUAAAACAGCUUUACAUGUUAGGUAAAGAGCUCUCUCUCUCUUUCUCACUCCUUCUUUUUUAAACAAAAAUAUUAUUUCUGAAAGGGCAAAGGGAAUUUGCCAUGCAAGACUUUUAUACCCAGGGGGAUUCUUACAUUUGUGUUUCUAAACCUUGAAAUUGAGAAUUUUAAUGAAAAGGCGGACAGAUGCUUAAGGACAGCAUCGCAAUCUGGGUCCAUACAUUACAGGAGAGAGAAGCGCUUUGUUUGGGGCCAAGUAAAAAGAGGUGGACUCCUAUUUUGUUCAUAGGCCAUCCCCACCGUCUGACACAUCCCUUUACAGUCGGUCUGAUGCUAACCACUGAAUUCUUGGAGGGGAAGCAGGUUGGAAGGAGAAGAAAGGAAAAGGGAAACAGAAGAGGAAAAGAAAUGGGCAAUGGGAUACUGCCUGUUUAUAUAAAUUGUAGAUUAAAAAAAAAAAAUCCCAACACAGUAUCCAUUCCAUAGUAUGUACCAAGAGCACUUUCACACGUGAGUUAAAACGAUCCAUUAAAUGCUAUAUCGAAAGUACAA